rfam:Anolis carolinensis chromosome 5, whole genome shotgun sequence.
GUUGAGAGUCACUGAUCUAAAGGCACCAAAUCCUGUCUGACCUUGGAAGCUAAGUAGGUUCAGCCCUGGUUAAUACUUGGAUGGGAGACAGCCACUCCCAUAGCAGGUGCUGGAGGCUCUUUUUC